UUUUUUUUUUUUUUUUUUUUUUUUUUUUUUUCCGGGAUAUCCUUUGUAAUAGUUUAAUCGUAGUANAUAAACAAGCAAUGAGUAANAAAAAAAAUGUAGUACGACGAUGAUGNGUUUUCUCAANAUGAUAACGGAUCUAGNUUCNCCAUCAAUAAGUAUGANACAAAGGAGUCCAUCUUUGAUGAAACAUCCAUUUGCCUGUUGNACAUUUUUGCAGGACAACCAGCCUGAGCACAANANACAUGGNGUACUANACUUUGNGNGGAAUGUCUACUUCAAAACUCNCAUCUUUAUAUCUGAUAUAUAGAGAUAUAGAGAUAUAGAGAGAGGCUGAUGAUUUAUAAACNCAAACGAUAANACUUGUAACAUGAAGUUUAUCGAAAAAGUCAAUCUUUAAAUUCCUUUCUGAACCUCUCUGUUAUGUCAGGGCUUCGGNACCAUGCUUUUAGNGCGGUCAUUUAAAGGCAUAGCGAUGAUAGUUCUAAAGUUACUGUAUUGAUCAAUUGGAANAACAUCCAAAUAAAAAAAAGUAUGCAAAAUGUGUUUCAACAAUAUUGUUGUUUGGCAUCGCCAUAAAUAUAUGACCUAGAAGUAAAAUUCGUGUUGUCNAAACAAUUCCAAUCGGUUCANUUUUCUCUUUCAAAAGUAUAUCGAAGUAGGAAUGAUGUACUCCCAACCUGCGGAUGGAAAAAGUUCUUUAUCGAUUUUAAAAUCUGGGGGUGGGGGAAAAACCGAAAUACGAUCCAANUUGGGAAAAUUAAAAAAGAAAUGGAAUAUGGGUUUACUUCUUUUACUACCCCNGAUGCCGUUGGUNAAANACAUGANGNUAAAGGGNGAACCGCACCNAAUUGGNCCGUUUUAAUNAANGA
rnacentral:sRNA from 1 species